CCUACGGGAGGCAGCAGUGGGGAAUCUUGCGCAAUGGGCGAAAGCCUGACGCAGCCAUGCCGCGUGAAUGAUGAAGGUCUUAGGAUUGUAAAAUUCUUUCAGUAGGGACGAUAAUGACGGUACCUACAGAAGAAGCCCCGGCUAACUUCGUGCCAGCAGCCGCGGUAAUACGAAGGGGGCUAGCGUUGCUCGGAAUUACUGGGCGUAAAGGGAGCGUAGGCGGACAUUUAAGUCAGGGGUGAAAUCCCAGAGCUCAACUCUGGAACUGCCUUUGAUACUGGGUGUCUUGAGUGUGAGAGAGGUAUGUGGAACUCCGAGUGUAGAGGUGAAAUUCGUAGAUAUUCGGAAGAACACCAGUGGCGAAGGCGACAUACUGGCUCAUUACUGACGCUGAGGCUCGAAAGCGUGGGGAGCAAACAGGAUUAGAUACCCUGGUAGUCCACGCCGUAAACGAUGAUUGCUAGUUGUCGGGAAGUUUACUUCUCGGUGACGCAGCUACGCAUAAGACAUCCGCCGUGGGAGGUACGGUCGCGAGAUAAACUACAAGAAGUAGAGCGNGAGACGUGCGAGGACGACGACGAGGGAGAGG
rnacentral:rRNA from 1 species